UACGUAGGUCCCGAGCGUUGUCCGGAUUUAUUGGGCGUAAAGCGAGCGCAGGUGGUUUAUUAAGUCUGGUGUAAAAGGCAGUGGCUCAACCAUUGUAUGCAUUGGAAACUGGUAGACUUGAGUGCAGGAGAGGAGAGUGGAAUUCCGUGCGUAGCGGUGAAAUGCGUAGAUAUAUGGAGGAACACCGGUGGCGAAAGCGGCUCUCUGGCCUGUAACUGACACUGAGGCUCGAAAGCGUGGGGAGCAAACAGG
rnacentral:rRNA from 1 species